CAUUACUAUUAUUGAAGAAAAAACUACUAUCGGAAUCGGCAAAGAGAAUUAUAAUUUAUAAAUCGGAACAAAAGGGGCUCCCGGGAGCACAUGCAUAAAGAAAAAGGAAUUUGGGACAAAAACAGAAGCUAGACGGAUCGAAAAAACAAAGACGAUGUACAUAAUCGAUGUUGAUUUUUCAUCGUAAAGGUCGGCGGAUAAAUGAAUAAUGUUUCACAUUUACCUGUCCAAAUUGCGCAGUGACGCAAAACUCAGUGAAACGGUGGUAGCAGAUAAUUCUUCGCUUGGAGCAUGAAUAAUAUAGAGUUAGCGGCCGUGAGACACCGCGGACGAUGUUUGGACACCGAUUAAGGUGCGGUCACGUGGUCAGGACGGCGCGGGACAAUUUGCUGUGCUCAGAUGACACCCACGGAGUAGUGGGCGAUUAUUGUGAACCGCAAGGAUUCGUUCGAUUUGGAUUCUGAGAUAGAUUCAAGAAUGUUAGUCGCAGGUGCACAAUGUGGAAUGUGGAUUGCGCCUGUUGGCUUAAAAGAUACCAUUGGCUAAUCGAAGAUAUUGCGUUCGUCUUAUGGCUUGGCAUUUCAACAACAUCCAGCGAUUAAUUGUUUUACUAUUUUUUUAAACUGUCACAAGCAAAGUGACCGAUUACCUUUUGUUAAAUACAGUGCAGUCCACAGUGCACUAAAAAGAGAUAUUGUGACCCAAAUUGCCAAAAUUAUAGCGGGUUAUGGCUGUAUGUGAACCAGCUGAUCGCAGAGAGCGAUUGAGUAAAUUGCUAACCAUUGGUUCUAAAAGUAUGGUGUAUGUCUGUGUGCCUUCCACGAUUUGAUAAGUAAAAAAAUAUAAUACUUUAGCGGCAGAAUCAUAUCGCUAAUGUUAACUAUAAUUGUUUGUAUGUACACGUCAGUUUUGACGUUCUUUGUAGAAACAUUGAGAAUAAAAGGUUUUUU